GCAGGUAUGGUGGAAUUGGCAGACACGCUAGAUUUAGGAUCUAGUGGGAAACCGUGCAGGUUCAAGUCCUGUUACCUGCACCA
rnacentral:tRNA from 1 species